GAGUCGUAACAAGGUUUCCGCAUGAAUAAGUAUGGAACCGGCUCCCCGAGCCGCCUGCCCACGGCAGCAAUGCCCGGGCCGAUUCUGAUGAGUCCUUCCGCAGCGAAACUUAUAGAAGCCUAAGCAGCGUGGCAACACGUAGAGAGUCGACGACUGAAAACAAAGACUCUCGAGAUGCUAGUCACACUUGUGUGGCGACACGAUCGAAUUGCGGGGAAACCCUUAGAGCCCGGUACUACUAAGCCGUCGGGGAAACUCGGCGGCGGCCCGUGUUAACAGCACGGGGUGCGGUAAUAAGGUACCGGGAUUGGGCAAUCCGCAGCCAAGCCCCUAAACCUCUCGGUCUGCGACCGUGGCAUGGGGAAGGUUCACAGACUAGGUGGUUGUGGGUGGAGCGCUGCUCUGCUUAAGAUAUAGUCGGGCCCCCGGUGAAAGCCGGGGGGUAAUUCCUGCUCGGUGAAUAUCGUUCCGUAGGUGAACCUGCGGAAGGAUCAUUAGAGAGAACUUGCCCUUCGGGGGUACAUCUCCCACCCUUUGGUAUACAUACCUUUGUUGCUUUGGCGGGCUCGGGCUCACGCCCCUGCCCGCCAGAGGACCCAAACCAAGUAACAUGUCGUCUGAGAAAACUUAAUAGUUAAA
rnacentral:misc_RNA from 1 species